rnacentral:lncRNA from 1 species
UGCUAAAAUAGUUAGACAUAAAAUAGAGAAUAAUUAUUACAAAUUUAAACUUGAGAUUUGAAGGGUGGGUAACACUCUUGAAAAAAAAAAACCUCUUCAAGGUAAACAAAAAAAAAAUCAUUUUCUUUACCACAUACAAAUCAUGUAAAAAAUUACCAAUUGAAAUUAGUAAAUUGUUAACUCAGGUGCUAAAACAUGUAAAAAAGAAUACCCCAAUCAAAUGUAGCAUAAAUAAAAAAACAUAAACCCUAAACUGUAAAGUGUGCUUGAUCCAGUGAAAAAAGAUAAAAAAGAAGGGCA